AGUGCAAUUGCUGGGUUAUGUGUUAAGGGCAUAUUUAGUUUUUUAAGAAACUGCCCAACUGUUUUUCAGAGUGGCUGUACCAUUUUACAUUUCUACCAGCAGU
rnacentral:pre_miRNA from 1 species